rnacentral:rRNA from 1 species
UGGGGAAUAUUGCGCAAUGGGGGAAACCCUGACGCAGCACCGCCGCGUGCGGGAUUAAGGCCUUCGGGUUGUAAACCGCUUUCAGCAGGGGAGACAUCGACGGUACCUGCAGAAGAAGCCCCGGCUAACUACGUGCCAGCAGCCGCGGUAAUACGUAGGGGGCGGGCGUUAUCCGGAAUUAUUGGGCUUAAAGGGCAUCUAGGCGGUAAGACAAGUUGAAGGUGAAAACCUGUGGCUCAACCAUAGGCUUGCCUACAAAACUGUUGAACUAGAGUACUGGAAAGGUGGGUGGAACUACACGAGUAGAGGUGAAAUUCGUAGAUAUGUGUAGGAAUGCCGAUGAUGAAGAUAACUCACUGGACAGAAACUGACGCUGAAGUGCGAAAGCUAGGGGAGCAAACAGG